ensembl:snRNA U2 U2 spliceosomal RNA
CUCGCUUCUCGGCCUUUUGGCUAAGAUCAAGUGUAGUAUCGCUCCUCAGGGAGAUUAGGCAAGCCCCCACCAUGGUAGCAUUUAGGAAGAGCUUAAAAACCUGGCUCUUCCAACAUGCUUUUGGAGAAUGAAUUUCUCAUCCCCAUGACAGAUU